CUGCUGAGUCGCUGCGAUGCAACAGCUGCUCACAUCCACUGCUGCUGCAGGAAAUUGCGGAGUGUGGCUGAGAGGGAAGAGGCUGGCGAUGAUUUGCAUAGCACACAAGCUCACAGCCCGGAGCCUGGUUUUACAAUUCAUGAUACAGCGCCUUCAGAAGCAGCUGCGGAGCUCUCAGUGCCGAGCAGGGUGCUGCUCCCCUGAGAACCUGCCCUGCAGCAUGGCCGUGCCUGACCUGUGCUCAGCUCCUGCAGGCUGUGCUCAGAUGGAGCAGGAGUGCUCUGCUUGGCCUUGGUUUUCCACAAGGCCUCGAGCAAUGCUGGGUUUUUGAUGUGUUUUAGAGUCCUAAGAUCCAUUUAAACUGGUGUGAGGCAGGAUAACCCUGGAGGCUUCGCUAAAGGAGAGACAAAAGUGAUGCAAACAGAGGUGCACUGAUGAAGGAUACAGAUGGGGAUUAUGGUUAUGGUUGGAAAUGUUAAAACCUUGGAUUUGAAAGGGUAAACAAAGCUAAUGAGACUGAAAACCCACACUGAAGCCACAGCAAAUAGUGAUCACACCAAAGGUAGCAAUGAUCAGUAAACAAUUAGGAGCAAUGUUCUGCCCCAACCAGCACCGCUGGAGCAAGAUGCAGCUAAUUCCCAGCAACAGGAAAAGAGGAGAUGGGAAAAAAAAAACAGGAUUCUGAGCGCACAGCCAAUGAAAUUAAACUAAGAAUUAAUUUCAUCCAUUAGAACUGAUUGUUGUAAAUUAAAACUAGAGGAAAAUAAUUGGUAGCAUGUAGCUCUUAGUGUUUGAUACAGAUUAGAGGAAUUAGAUUUUUUUAUUAGGAACACUAAACUCAUCUGCCGUGCUCUCGUGUCUUCAGCAAUAUGCAUUUUUCCUGAUUACAGCAUGCAGCCUGUUGGCACAGCGAGGUUGGUGGCCACAGCAUUUGCUUCAUUAGGACGCGUGUCCUCGGCCAUUCAUGCCUUGGUGACUCACGCUGGGCUCGAAACGAGUUCCCCAUCGAGCAGAGAGGAGUCUGCUGCUCCCAGGACACUGCAGAGCAGCUGGCCACUGGUCCAGCAUCUCCACGGAUUGUCCAAUACCCAGGAAAGCAAUUGCCUUUGGUGCAGGGAGCGCUCAUUGAGCCUUAUUUUCCGCAGCGCUGGUCUGCUCCAGCUGCUCCUGCUCGGUGCAAUGAUCUCUGCUACUGAGCUAAGCCCUCAGGAAGCAGGCAGUAUCUGGUGGUGAGCCCAUCCUGCUGAUUCAGCUUCCAUUUGCAAACAUCCUUUGGGUCUGCUGCUCCUGGUUCUGCUCUGCUCCUUCCCUUGCUAGCUGCAGACCCUGGCCCACAGAGCCCCCUGCUAAACCUCGAAGCCCAGUGCUGUCACCCUGUGUUUGCACAGGGGCUGUUGCUCCCUGAGCUGUUCCUUUAUCAAUACUCCUUUACAGCAUUGAAGGGUUUGGAGAGCGAAGCUCUCACCCCAGCACAGCCAGAACUGCAGGAGUUAAGCUUUCCUCUUCCCCUCUGUUCGAAGAUAUUUUCUCACCAGGUGAAAAGCAUCAGAAAGACCCAGCUUUGUGCUGCCGUGGAGUUUAGAAAGUGGCAGGAAAUUAAGUUAUAUGUGAGCUGUUCUGCUUUUCUCAGAGGUUAUUUUUAUGCAUUUAUUUAAUUAAUUCCUUUGGCUUAUAUAAGAGGAAUAGGAUUUUGCAUGUAUGCAGUGCUCCCUUUCCCAAGGACCUCAAAACAUUUCACAGAACAGAAACGGGCCCCGCUGCUUCCCCUGGGCAAACACUUGGCCCCAAAAAGAGCUGCGGGGCCUUCCCUAAGACGCAAAGGGAAGCGAAAAACACCCUAAAACUGAGGGAGGACUGCGGGGAGCAAGACCGAGGCUGAUUAGCUGACAGUGUGCCAUGCAAUUAAGCUUACACCAUGACUUUUGCUGAGGGUUCUGUGGGAUGCUCAGCGAGCCCAGCAGUCCACUUCCCAUCUUUUGGGAGAGGAGCAGAAGGCAAAACCCUCCUCAGCACGCACUGCCAUCAGCAGGAGCUGACAGAGAGGGAGCAGUGCCACCUACUGCAGCAGCAGCACCUGGCUCACUCGGAACAAGCUAAAAUAGCAACUUCUUGUUUUGUAGUUGGGAAUAUAAAGAAAAAGGGGGGAAAAGGGGAGGAGGGAGGGAGCAACCUAAAAAAAGGAAUUUGCUGAAUGGCGUUUUGUGCCAGCGUCGCGGUUAUAAAUAGCCGAAGUGACACUCCUCUUUGCAGGAUGAGUUUCUGAAUAUUUCUGAUCAGCAAAGAGUUCUAGCUGCAAAUAACAAUAAGUGAGGGAAAUGUGUAUAAAUAAAAGGCAUUAAAAACCCUUUCUGUGUCGGAUCGGCGUCACAUCUUGAAGCUCACAUCAAAGGGACUCAAUUAGCAGACGCAUUUUCUAAUUACAUGUUCUAAUUUUCAACAAAUCUGGGUUUCUAAUGAAGCUCUGAUUAAUGGUCCAGAUGGUAAGGACCAGACCCGACAUUCCGCAGCGUGCAGAAGCGCACUGGAAAUGCCAAGAAGACCACCUGAUGCUCAAGAACCAGCCUCAUCUCGCUUGCCCAGGCACCUUCCUUCUUUCCAAUCCCUCCCAAAUUGCCCCAAGCAGUCCCCAUGCCUAAACGUACCCAAAGGAGCCAAUGGUGAAAGCAGGUGCAGAUGACGGCACUGUAAAAUGGAACGGCAACAAAACCACCCCACUGACCACUCCUGCCAUCUGCUAUCAGCAUUUUCCCUUUGCCAUCUUGAUUUGGGCAUGCAAACAGCAGACAUAGCCCUUUUUUUGCAGCAUUACCCACAGGUGGUCUCGCAGGCAUCAUUUCUCAUUACAGAAAAGGUUCCCUGUAAACCUCCCCUGGGUGUUAGUUGCCAUUUCCAGCAUUAAUCACUCCCUGCAUAACGAGCACAGCGCUGCAGGGUUCCUCUCAGUGUAAGGAGCUCAGACCUUCCAUGGGACCCCACAGCCCCAGCACACCUCCAGGAGGGAGCAGGGCACAGAAGUCACCAAACCCAUGCUGUGGCCAUGGAUCUGCACUGCCAGCAGAGCUGUCACGUGCCCUACAAAGACAGGCUUGUAGGAAACCCCGUCUGUCAUGCGCAAGCAGGAAAGCCUGGGUCCUCCAGCUGAGCUGGGAUGAGCAGCUCUUGGCUGACAGAUGCCAUCUCUCUUCCUCGUUGCAAUACAAAUACCCGAUGGGUUCAAUUGCUGUGCCACUUGUCUGCAAGUCAGAGCAGAUUCUAAGCCCCCCUACGAGACCAUCCCUGCCAUGAAGAAUGUGAGCUUGGAGUGACAGGACACAGCACAGGAGAAAGAGGCACAGACAACUCAGUCCAUUCCUGGAUUCCCCUUCCGUCCUGAUGGAAAGGAAAUCUCUGUGGAUUUUACUUUUCUUUCCUUUAAGACACUGUUAUGGUACUAAUGGGGCCUUGCUCCACUCUCCAUGGCUGGACAGCUGUAUCUAUCUUGGAUCUAACUCUUGAAUCCCAUUAGCUUUCAAACCUGCACUCCACCUGCCCCUGGUCCACAGCCAGCACUGACUCCUUGGCUUCCCAAGGGCCCUUCCAAAGCACUGGUACUAUAGCUGUGUGGGUUUUCUGAUGCUCUCCUGACCUGCAACACAACCCACAAGGAACAGAUGCAUGGACAGAAGAGCCGUAUUUUUCUUUACAGAUGAGUCCAACAGAUCUGGAUUGAGGCAAGAAUGAAAACAAAGACACUUAUCCUAACGUCCUAACCACUCCAAGAUCCUUUUUGACUUUUGCAACUGUCUUUUAACAUCACAGUCCUAAAAAGCACAGGAAUCUGUAAUAAACUGCAACAGAAUUGAGCUGGAAGUGAGAAAUACCAGAGCAGACCUUUGGCUGUUGAAUUGUAUUCUCUCAUAGUGCUGCAGCCCCAUGUAUAAAUAGACAGCCUACUCUGAAAGAACAUGUCUAACAAUGCUGCUAACAUUGUCUAACAGCUCCAAGGGAAAUUUCUCUCCGGCAUCAGAUGUAGUUGAACUAAACUUAUAUAAAAAAAAGAAGUCAGCAUAGGUUUCAUUUUAAAUUUAAGCAUCAAGUCUAACACGGUCAGCAGGACUCCCAUCCUAUCCUCUUUCAUUUCCCUCCAUACAGGACACGUUCCUGAGGGUGGUAGAUCAGGCUGUGCUUGAUUCUUUCUACAGUCUAUAAAGGGCUCAGGCAGUGUACUUCACUUCUGGAAGGCUGCAGCUAAGUAGGAUGAAGUGCUUGCUGCAUUCAGCAUCAGAAAAUACAGGUCAAGUAAAAAGAGCCUGCAAAUGUUUUUGAGUAUCAUCAUUCUGAAACAAAUCCCGCGACUUCCUAGAACCUUGACUUAACUUUUGCAAGCUGAAUGGCAUUUAUACGCCUGUGCCAGCAAGGUGUUUCCCUUGACCUAGCAACUGUUACUAUAAUCUGAGCUCAGCUCAGUGAGCCAGUGCCACAGCUCGCACUGCCAGUGGGAAUGAAGCUUCGGCCUCUUCAGAAAAUGAAGAAAUUACUGACUGACCACUAGUUGGAAAUACUACAAACCUUCGGCGGAUUAAAGAAGAUUAAUGGAGAAAGAAGACAUUGAGCAUUCACUGGCAUUAAUACAGAGGCUGAGAUGUCUAAGUAGCUGGGCUGCCCAGUCUUAGACAUGGUGUGGUAACUUUGAGAAGAGAUUUUGAUUUAUUUUAUGGACAAUGAUUAUGAUUUAGAGGAAAAAUGCUCCCGCCCAGGAUAGAAGAAGUUGGGUGGCUGGAUGCCUGCCGUGCUCCUGCCUGCCCUGGGUGACUGCGGUCGGUCCAAAGCCUUUCCCCUGGCAUGGGCAUCGCAGAGAGCAGCAGGCAGGGCUCAGGCUGUGCACCAGGGUCUGCCUUCAUUGCUUUUAGCACUGGAACAGGACCACAUGUGGUACUGAGCACGGACCACAGGGUGGGAAGGCACAGCCAAGCUGGGGCUGGACCAUGCAGCGUGCAGACGUCACCCUGCUCUCCUUCCAGCCCUCCCGAUGGGAUCUGCAGACUGGCCACAGCCCAGACUGAGUGAUUAAGUGCCACUGACAAAAGAAACUCCAUGUACGGUAUUGGACUUUAUUUAUUAUCCUAAUUGGUUUUUAUGCUAAGAUGGAGUCAUUGCUGGGAAACGCACCUCAAAGCGUCUCAAACCCUGCUAACCCACAUUAUUCUCAAAUAAAAGGAGAAAAUGCACCUUGCCCUGAUUUCCAGGCAGCAUUAGAGAUGCUGGGAGGUGGGAGCAGAAGCUGAGAUGAGCACAGGGCAGGAUGAGAGAAGAAUACGGGAAGGAGGGGAAGGUCAGACACUGGGUGUGAGCACCCAUGUCCCCAGUAUUUCAGACAGAAGGGCCAACACAAGCUCCAGUUGGUGCCAGCUGCUGUGCAUCAUUCCAUCUUCCAGGAGCUGGGCUGAGAACACAAACUCUUUUUCUUCAAGUCUUCCUCCAGCUGCUGACAGGGCUGGGACUUAAACACGGAGAAUUAGAUUUGAAAAGCUCCGUAUCUCAUUAAUAAUCUGUCGAGCCAUUAAGUGCACUCAAUGGAGAUUUUACCACCAUUUUUUUUGCCAUUGCAGGAGCAAAUUACAUGACCUUCCUCCCAGCCUUGGAGUAAUGGCACAAGUGGCUUUCCCUGCAGUUAGCUAUGGAAACAGCCAGGUAUCCCAUGCCAGGGGCGUCAUUUAAAAAACAAUUACUGCAGAGCAGAUGAGAAGUACUUUUUAUCUUUGGCCUUGAUUGCAUUUCAAAACUGAUACCUUCUUCCUCCCAUCGUUUCAUUUACAUAUCAAAAUAAUUGCCUCCGCAAUUCAGCAGAUUGCUGCAGCGCUGCCUGCCAGGAGCUGGGCAGAGCUGGGCACAGCGCAGCGCACCACGAAGCACAGGAACAGCUCAGCCCAUCCUGAAGAAACGUCCUCACAAAGAAGCUGAGGACAGGCCAAUGUCAUGCCAACCGUGAGAUGAAACCCCCUCAAGUCCUUUCCUCUUUGUCACCUCAGAUCAAUACUAAAAACCUCCUGAGUUAUCCGUAUUUUGUGCAAAAACAGAAAAUGCGCAAGGGCUUGGAGAGAAAGAUGAUGGAAGAAGGAUAAAAAAUGUGGGAGAGCAGAAGGAGAUAGAGACAUUUUGUUGGACAGGUUACCAAGACUUCAUGCUUCUGGAUGACAUAGCAAGUUUUCCAUAAAUGAAAAGAAUCACAAAACCUUGAACAACCAACACAACAGCCUGGAACCCCACGAGGAUUAACGUUCUUCUGCAAUAGUAGGAAGAGACAAUUUUCUUGUCGGGAGUUCUGAAGCCCUUAAUAAAUCUUACGUUAAAAAAAAAAAAAAAAAAAGAAAGGAAGAAAUCAUGAGCUACGUCUCAUUUGCCCCAAUGAUAGCCUGUCUCCUUGAGAUCUAAUGGGAAACUUAAUGACCCCAGAAUUUUACUCCUGCACAAAGUGCUCCUGCAGGACCUGAAAGAAAACUGUAAAGCACCGCAGCAGGAGAGCUACAGCCCCACGCCAGCCCCCCGCGGAGCAGCACUGCACAGCAGGAGCACGCGGGCACCUCCUUCCUCCUCCCCCCGCUGUGCUGCUGUGACUCUGCCGUGCACAGAGAUGCCCCCAGUGAUGGAUUCCCUCGGUAACAGCGCAAGCUCUUUUAAUAAGACAAAGAAAAGGGAAAUAAAUCCCUCGGCUCAUUUUUAAAACUGCUUCUCCUUCCCUCUAUGAGCAUCCCUUAGCCCUGCCAUCAUCCUGUAAGGGUUUUCUCCAUUAACGCACGCCCAAGUUUGCCAUCUCUACACUUCAGCCCGGUGCAAGCACAACUAAAAGCUCCUUGCUGCAGUCCCCAAGCCUCGCUGGAGUGCUAGCAGAGACUUUCCACCUUUACCUGAAGAUUUUUCGUCUUCCUUACUUAAGACUCUCCAAAGAUCCACCAGACCCAAAGAGGCACCCUGAGCGUGCACCCUGCACAAGCAUCAGAGAACGGGGCAAUGCAGAGAGAACCUUCUGCCCGGCGCCAGCGAUGCAGGUGGCUGUGAAUGCUGAUCAUGGGACCAAAGGGAAACGCUCCGCGAUUUACCUGGCAGAAAGCUCUGCAAGAAGAUGUGUCAACCUGCAGCUGCAGAGGACUGCGGUGCGAUUUGCUUUUCUGUCUUUUCCUUAAUUGCUCACUUACAGGAGGUGGCAAUAAAAGCUGAAUGAAGUUCA